UAGGGAAUAUUGCUUAAUGGGCGAAAGCCUGAAGCAGCAACGCCGCGUGGACGAAGAAGGCCUUCGGGUUGUAAAGUUCUUUUAUAUGGGAUGAGGAAGGACAGUACCAUAUGAAUAAGUCCCGGCUAACUACGUGCCAGCAGCCGCGGUAAAACGUAGGAGACGAGCGUUAUCCGGAUUUACUGGGCGUAAAGAGCGUGUAGGAGGCAAUACAAGUUGGAUGUAAAAGCUCUCGGCUAAACUGAGAGAGGACGUUCAAGACUGUAGAGCUAGAGGAAGGCAGAGGUAGAUGGAACUCCGGGAGUAGUAGUGAAAUGCGUAGAUAUCCGGAAGAACACCAGAGGCGGAAGCGAUCUACUGGGCCUUAACAGACACUGAUACGCGAGAGCGAGGGUAGCAAACG
rnacentral:rRNA from 1 species